rnacentral:rRNA from 1 species
AGUGGCGGACGGGUGAGUAACACGUAAGAAUUUGCCUUUAGGAGGGGGACAACAACUGGAAACGGUUGCUAAUACCCCAUAUGCUUUCGAGUGAAAUGGAUUUCCGCCUAAAGAGAAGCUUGCGGCUGAUUAGCUUGUUGGUGAGGUAAUGGCUCACCAAGGCGACGAUCAGUAUCUGGUUUGAGAGGACGAUCAGACACACUGGAACUGAGACACGGUCCAGACUCCUACGGGAGGCAGCAGUGGGGAAUUUUCCGCAAUGGGCGAAAGCCUGACGGAGCAAUACCGCGUGAGGGAUGACGGCCUAUGGGUUGUAAACCUCUUUUUUCAGGGAGGAAUAAAAUGACGUGUACCUGAAGAAUAAGCAUCGGCUAACUCCGUGCCAGCAGCCGCGGUAAGACGGGGGAUGCAAGUGUUAUCCGGAAUCACUGGGCGUAAAGCGUCUGUAGGUGGUUAAAUAAGUCAACUGUUAAAUCUUGAGGCUUAACCUCAAAAUCGCAGUCGAAACUGUUUGACUAGAGUAUAGUAGGGGUAAAGGGAAUUUCCAGUGGAGCGGUGAAAUGCGUAGAUAUUGGAAAGAACACCGAUGGCGAAGGCACUUUACUGGGCUAUUACUAACACUGAGAGACGAAAGCUAGGGUAGCAAAUGGGAUUAGAUACCCCAGUAGUCCUAGCUGUAAACAAUGGAUACUAGA